rnacentral:rRNA from 1 species
CCGCAUUCGCCCUUCGGGGUGCCCAGGCGCGAAAACUUUACAAUGCGGGAAACCGUGAUAAGGGAACUCCGAGUGCCCGUAAAAUCGGGCUGUCCAUCUGUUUAAAUAACAGGUGAAGAAAGGGCCGGGCAAGACCGGUGCCAGCCGCCGCGGUAAUACCGGCGGCUCGAGUGGUGGCCACUAUUACUGGGCUUAAAGCGUUCGUAGCUGGUCUGUUAAGUCUCUGGGGAAAUCUACUGGCUUAACCAAUAGGCGUUUCAGGGAUACUGGCAAACUAGGGACCGGGAGAGGUGAGGGGUACUCCAGGGGUAGGAGUGAAAUCCUGUAAUCCUUGGGGGACCACCUGUGGCGAAGGCGCCUCACCAGAACGGCUCCGACAGUGAGGGACGAAAGCUGGGGGAGCAAACCGGAUUAGAUACCCGGGUAGUCCCAGCCGUAAACGAUGCGCGUUAGGUGUAUCGGUGACCACGAGUCACCGAGGUGCCGAAGAGAAAUCGUGAAACGUGCCGCCUGGGAAGUACGGUCGCAAGGCUGAAACUUAAAGGAAUUGGCGGGGGAGCAC